CAUGUCUAGUUAUUUAGUCGGUUGAUAAACAACAAUUCGAAUACUCGAUUGAACAACGCACAUUAAACUAUAUAUUUGAUUUAUAAAGGUUCAAGAAGUACAGUUACUUAGGAGUUAAAUAAUCCUGAAAUAGGUAAAAAGAAUACCCAAUUAUUUCCAUUCACAUACGGCAAUUUUGGAUUACAGCCUCCUCUAAUUCAUCUUUGCUCAACUCCCCUCCCUCCACUAUAACUCUUAUCUCCUCAAUUACCAAACUUCAAUGCUGAGCCAAUUCUCUUCCAGUAUGGAGGGUGCCAUUAAAGGUCGAAGGUUGAAAACUUCAAUGAUGAUGAUAGGGCUAGGUACAAGGCAAGUUGUGCUUCCAAAAUAUGUGAUGUUGAUGUUGCAAAAAACAGAGGGUUUGCGGCAGUGAUGAUGCAGAUUGAGCAUUGUUUUUGCCUUGAUGCAGAUGAUGCAGAUGAUGAUGUUAGGUGUUCAUGAUGAUGAUGUUAGGUGUUCAUGAUGAUGAUGUUAGGCUUAAAGUAGUUUUUAGGUUGUAAUUAGGGGUAUGAUUAUGAUGAUGAUGUAUUAGUAUUUUGGCUUAAGUAGUAAGUUGUAUUUCGGGUUGUUGUGGUUUAGGGUUCUUAGUGAUCACGUAAACUCGAGUUACGUUGACAGUUUCUGGCAUGUUGUAAGUUGAAUUACAGUUGAAUAAAAUAUCUUUGCAAGAUUAUUAGAUUAUUUUCACAA